AAUAUUGUUUCGAAUUCGAAGAUGAUUAUUUAUUCACAAUAGAACUAAAACUCAACAGAAUACAAGUAAAUAAGUAAACAAAAUUGGAACUGUUAAGUUAGUCUCAGAGCAAGCAUUACGGUAUAGUAACGCAAUAAGGUGAUCUAAUUGAACAGCCUAAUAUAAUUGAUAUUGUUUGUGA